UACGAAGGGGGCUAGCGUUGUUCGGAAUUACUGGGCGUAAAGGGCGCGUAGGCGGCCCGUUCAGUCAGAUGUGAAAGCCCCGGGCUCAACCUGGGAACAGCAUUUGAUACUGGCGGGCUUGAGUUCAGGAGAGGAUGGUGGAAUUCCCAGUGUAGAGGGGAAAUUCGUAGAUAUUGGGAAGAACACCAGUGGCGAAGGCGGCCAUCUGGACGGACACUGACGCUGAGGCGCGAAAGCGUGGGGAGCAAACAGG
rnacentral:rRNA from 1 species